rnacentral:rRNA from 1 species
GACGAACGCUGGCGGCGUGCUUAACACAUGCAAGUCGAACGGAAAGGCCCUGCUGUUGUGGGGUGCUCGAGUGGCGAACGGGUGAGUAACACGUGAGUAACCUGCCCUUGACUUUGGGAUAACUUCAGUAAACUGGGGCUAAUAACGGAUAGGAACUCCUGCUGCAUGGUGGGGGUUGGAAAGUUUAGGCGGUUGGGGAUGGACUCGCGGCUUAUGAGCUUGUUGGUGGGGUAGUGGCUUACCAAGGCAUUGGGGGGUAGCCGGCCUGAGAGGGGGACCGGCAACAUUGGGACUGAGAUACGGCCGAGAGUACUACGGGAGGCAGCAGUGGGGAAUAUUGCACAAUGGGCGGAAGCCUGAUGCAGCAACGCCGCGUGCGGGAUGACGGCCUUCGGGUUGUAAACCGCUUUCGCCUGUGACGAAGCGUGAGUGACGGUAAUGGGUAAAGAAGCACCGGCUAACUACGUG